AAAACUCUAGAGAUAGAGCUUUCCCCUUCGGGGGACAAAGUGACAGGUGGUGCAUGGUUGUCGUCAGCUCGUGUCGUGAGAUGUUGGGUUAAGUCCCGCAACGAGCGCAACCCUUAAGCUUAGUUGCCAUCAUUAAGUUGGGCACUCUAGGUUGACUGCCGGUGACAAACCGGAGGAAGGUGGGGAUGACGUCAAAUCAUCAUGCCCCUUAUGAUUUGGGCUACACACGUGCUACAAUGGACAAUACAAAGGGCAGCUAAACCGCGAGGUCGUGCAAAUCCCAUAAAGUUGUUCUCAGUUCGGAUUGUAGUCUGCAACUCGACUACAUGAAGCUGGAAUCGCUAGUAAUCGUAGAUCAGCAUGCUACGGUGAAUACGUUCCCGGGUCUUGUACACACCGCCCGUCACACCACGAGAGUUUGUAACACCCGAAGCCGGUGGAGUAACCAUUUAUGGAGCUAGCCGUCGAAGGUGGGACAAAUGAUUGGGGUGAAGUCGUAACAAGGUAGCCGUAUCGGAAGGUGC
rnacentral:rRNA from 1 species